UUGGCGGGGUAGGGUGAACUGCCUGUUGCUGAGUGAACGUUUUCGGUGCAACUGACUAUUGCCAUCUGGGUUGGAGAGCGUGCGUAUAAUUUAAUCCAAUGAGUAAGGAUUAUUGGUGCGAUUUCGUGGCAGGAUGGAUUGGAGCGACGUUUCUUCGAAUGACCUGACUUCUGGACACGUGUUUAUACAACGAAUUCCUAAGCCAGUUUCUUUGUUCUG